GCCGGGCGCGGUGGCUCACGCCUGUAAUCCCAGCACUUUGGGAGGCCGAGGUGGGCGGAUCACCUGAGGUCAGGAGUUUGAGACUAGCCUGGCCAACAUGGUGAAACCCCAUCUCUA
ensembl:misc_RNA Metazoa_SRP Metazoan signal recognition particle RNA